GAAUAUCUUCUGGAAAUUGGAUGUUAAUGAAAAAUCAGGACGUCCCUGCUGGUUCAGUAGACUGUGGAGUAGACACGUUGAUGGUGUUUGAAUAUGAACUGAGAGCAGGCUGGCUGUGUGGCUGCAGUUGGGCAGCUGACUCGAGAACAAGGGGCUCAGGUUUAUGAGGCUGCAGAGAUCAGCAGGGCCUCCAGGAGGACUCAACAUGAAAAACUGUUGAAUUUCAUCAUAAAGGGCCAUGGAGCAGAUGAUCACUUGCUGGUAACUUAGUUCAGCUGCUGUGUCUGAAAAGAUGUCAUCGAAAUGGUUUAAAAAUGAAGUUCCUAAAGGUCACCAGGUAAUGACCUCUAUACAGUAGGAGAUGAGGAGCUGACAGAUGGCCUCUAGAACUACCUGAUGAAGUGCUGUCAAGAGCUGUAGGUACUUUUAGAAAGAUCGACACCCCGAGUUCACACCAUUCUGGAUAUGCUGAUGCCAGAGGAUCAUUUGGCUUCAGUGAAUCUCUGAGUAGAGAGAGUAUCUGUGUGAGUAAGAAGCAGAUGGUCUGUUCAUUGAUGGACCAGCAGACCAUGAGUGGUACGUCAUGUGGUGUUGGGAGCAGACGGUCCUUUC